AACUUUCGGCAAUGGAUCACUUGGUUCCCGCAUCGAUGAAGAACGCAGCGAAAUGCGAUAAGUAAUGUGAAUUGCAGAAUUCAGAGAAUCAUCGAAUCUUUGAACGCACAUUGCGCCCCCCGGUAUUCCGGGGGGCAUGCCUGUUCCAGCGUCAAUGAACCCACUCCCUCAGUACAGGUCUUCCUGCAAGUGGGGGGUCAUGCUGGAUGCCCACGCCGUGAAAAGUGCGGGCACCGCCCAAAUUCACAGUCCGCGUGCCCGAGGGUAGCGACCGACGUAGUGAGAUUCAAUCUCGUUGGCGAUGCGACCCCACAGAGGCAACGGGACCUUAAGCGCCAAGGCGCCAACUUCAAAACGGUUGAGCUCGGAUCAGGUAGGGAUACCCGCUGAACUUAAGCAUAUCAAUAAGCGGAGGCU
rnacentral:misc_RNA from 1 species